GCCAGAUGAGGAACCCCAUGUCCAUUGGAAAUGGCCCAGCACUGGGGUCUGCUGUGAGAGCAUGGCCUGGGUGUGGAGGCUGUCAGCUCAACUGCGGUGCUCGCAGAGGGCCGCACGAUACCCCUCCCUGGCUGCAUGGUCCCUGUCUUUGUGUGUGCUGAGUCUGCAUCACUUUGUAAAGCCCCACUCUUCUGCCCAGGUACCAAGGAAAGGCAGAUGCCCCCGUGGCCUUGGUGGUUCACAUGGCCCCAGAAUCUGUGCUGGUGGACAGCAGGUACCAGCAGUGGAUGGAGAGGUUUGGGCCUGACACCCAGCACUUGGUCCUGAAUGAGAACUGUGCCUCAGUUCACAACCUUCGCAGCCACAAGAUUCAAACCCAGCUCAACCUCAUCCACCCGGACAUCUUCCCCCUGCUCACCAGUUUCCCCUGUAAGGUAGUGUCUCAGACCGGCCCCUUGUCGGCCCAGCUCUCGUCCCCUCUCUUUCUCUCCAUGAAUGUGUUUUGUCUCUUUCAGGAGGUCCCCACCCUCAGUGUGCCCGUGGUUCAGGGUGAAUGCCUCCUCAAGUACCAGCUCCGUCCCAGGAGGGAGUGGCAGAGGGAUGCCAUUAUUACUUGCAAUCCUGAGGAAUUCAUAGUUGAGGCGCUGC
rnacentral:sRNA from 1 species